GCUUGUCUCAAAGAUUAAGCCAUGCAUGUCUUAGUGUAAAUAACUCUUAUGAAACUGCGAAUGGCUCAUUAAAUCAGUUAUCGUUUAUUUGAUGGUCCCUUACUACAUGGAUAACCGUAGUAAUUCUAGAGCUAAUACAUGCACAAAGGCCCGACUUACGAAGGGAUGUAUUUAUUAGAUACAAACCAACAUCGUGGUGAUUCAUAAUAACUUUGCGAAUCGUAUGCCUCACGGCGACGAUGAAUCAUUCAAAUUUCUGCCCUAUCAGCUUUGGAUGGUAGGGUAUUGGCCUACCAUGGCUUUAACGGGUAACGGAGAAUUAGGGUUCGAUUCCGGAGAGGGAGCCUGAGAAAUGGCUACCACAUCCAAGGAAGGCAGCAG
rnacentral:rRNA from 1 species